UACGGAAGGCAGCAGUGGGGAAUAUUGCACAAUGGGCGCAAGCCUGAUGCAGCCAUGCCGCGUGUAUGAAGAAGGCCUUCGGGUUGUAAAGUACUUUCAGUCGUGAGGAAGGUGUUAAGGUUAAUAACCUUAGCAAUUGACGUUAGCGACAGAAGAAGCACCGGCUAACUCCGUGCCAGCAGCCGCGGUAAUACGGGGGUGCGAGCGUUAGUCGGAAUUACUGGGCGUAAAGGGCACGCAGGCGGUUAAUUAAGUUGGAUGUGAAAUCCCCGGGCUUAACCUGGGAAUGGCAUUCAAGACUGGUUAGCUAGAGUCUUGUAGAGGGGGUAGAAUUCCAUGUGUAGCGGUGAAAUGCGUAGAGAUGUGGAGGAAUACCGGUGGCGAAGGCGGCCCCUGGACAAAGACUGACGCUCAUGUGCGAAAGCGUGGGGAGCAAACAGGGAUUAGAUACC
rnacentral:rRNA from 1 species